UGGGGAAUAUUGGACAAUGGGCGCAAGCCUGAUCCAGCCAUGCCGCGUGAGUGAUGAAGGCCUUAGGGUUGUAAAGCUCUUUCGGCGGGGACGAUAAUGACGGUACCCGCAGAAGAAGCCCCGGCUAACUUCGUGCCAGCAGCCGCGGUAAUACGAAGGGGGCUAGCGUUGCUCGGAAUCACUGGGCGUAAAGGGCGCGUAGGCGGACAUUUAAGUCGGGGGUGAAAGCCCAGGGCUCAACCCUGGAAUUGCCUCCGAUACUGGGUGUCUCGAGACCGGAAGAGGUGAGUGGAACUGCGAGUGUAGAGGUGAAAUUCGUAGAUAUUCGCAAGAACACCAGUGGCGAAGGCGGCUCACUGGUCCGGUUCUGACGCUGAGGCGCGAAAGCGUGGGGAGCAAACAGGAUUAGAUACCCUGGUGGUCCACGCCGUAAACGAUGGAUGCUAGCCGUUGGCAGGCUUGCCUGUCAGUGGCGCAGCUAACGCUUUAAGCAUCCCGCC
rnacentral:rRNA from 1 species